rnacentral:rRNA from 1 species
GUGGAAUUGCGCGUGCUACCAUGCAGUCGAACGAUGAAGCCGGAGCUUGCUCUGGUGGAUUAGUGGCGAACGGGUGAGUAACACGUGAGCAACCUGCCCUGGACUCUGGGAUAAGCGCUGGAAACGGCGUCUAAUACUGGAUACGAGACGUGGCCGCAUGGUCAACGUUUGGAAAGAUUUUUCGGUCUGGGAUGGGCUCGCGGCCUAUCAGCUUGUUGGUGAGGUAAUGGCUCACCAAGGCGUCGACGGGUAGCCGGCCUGAGAGGGUGACCGGCCACACUGGGACUGAGACACGGCCCAGACUCCUACGGGAGGCAGCAGUGGGGAAUAUUGCACAAUGGGCGGAAGCCUGAUGCAGCAACGCCGCGUGAGGGAUGACGGCCUUCGGGUUGUAAACCUCUUUUAGCAGGGAAGAAGCGAAAGUGACGGUACCUGCAGAAAAAGCGCCGGCUAACUACGUGCCAGCAGCCGCGGUAAUACGUAGGGCGCAAGCGUUAUCCGGAAUUAUUGGGCGUAAAGAGCUCGUAGGCGGUUUGUCGCGUCUGCUGUGAAAUCCCGAGGCUCAACCUCGGGCCUGCAGUGGGUACGGGCAGACUAGAGUGCGGUAGGGGAGAUUGGAAUUCCUGGUGUAGCGGUGGAAUGCGCAGAUAUCAGGAGGAACACCGAUGGCGAAGGCAGAUCUCUGGGCCGUAACUGACGCUGAGGAGCGAAAGGGUGGGGAGCAAACAGGCUUAGAUACCCUGGUAGUCCACCCCGUAAACGUUGGGAACUAGUUGUGGGGUCCUUUCCACGGAUUCCGUGACGCAGCUAACGCAUUAAGUUCCCCGCCUGGGGAGUACGGCCGCAAGGCUAAAACUCAAAGGAAUUGACGGGGACCCGCACAAGCGGCGGAGCAUGCGGAUUAAUUCGAUGCAACGCGAAGAACCUUACCAAGGCUUGACAUACACGAGAACGGGCCAGAAAUGGUCACUCUUUGGGACACUCGUGAACAGGUGUGCAU